rnacentral:rRNA from 1 species
CACGCCGUAAACGAUGAGAACUAGGUGUUGCGGGUAUUGACCCCUGCAGUGCCGCAGCUAACGCAUUAAGUUCUCCGCCUGGGAAGUACGGUCUUAAGACUAAAACUCAAAGGAAUUGACGGGGGCCCGCACAAGCGGUGGAGCAUGUGGUUUCAUUAACCCCUAGACAUAAGCCAUUAUUAUUUUUUUUUCCUCCUCCCCUUCCUCCUCUUUGUAACCGGGGGUCUCCUUAGAGAACACCCCUGCUGAAUGCCCAGCUCCCCGCACGAAGUGGUGCCCGUGCUGUAUUUAUUCUACCUUCUCUUUAUAAUAUUUUUAUU